rnacentral:tRNA from 4 species
CGGGGAGUAGUAUAAUGGCAGAAUGCGCCGCUGGGGGUGGUGCGGUCCGGGUUCGAUUCCCGGCUCCCCGA